CCAGACGGCUGGACGAUCGCUGUGACCGGGAUGAGGAUCCCUGUCAUGGAGGAAAGUCCGGGCUCCAUGGGAAAACGGUACCGGCUAACAGCCGGCGGGGGCGACCCUAGGGACAGUGCCACAGAAAACAGACCGCCCGCCGGACUGUUCCUUCUGGAACAUGUCGCGGGUAAGGGCGAAACGGUGCGGUAAGAGCGCACCGCGAUUCCGGCAACGGCGUCGGUCACGGUAAACCCUACCGGGAGCAAAACCGAAUAGGAACGGCAGGCUGUCGCAAGAUGGCCGGGAGCGUCUCACUCCGUCGUUCGGGUUGGUUGCGUGAGGCAUGCAGCAAUGUAUGUCCCAGAGGAAUGAUCGUCCCGCCUUUGGCGGACAGAACCCGGCUUACAGGCCGUCUGGCACC
rfam:Gluconobacter oxydans H24, complete genome.